GACAGAGGAUGCAAGCGUUAUCCGGAAUGAUUGGGCGUAAAGCGUCUGUAGGUGGCUUUUUAAGUCCGCCGUCAAAUCCCAGGGCUCAACCCUGGACAGGCGGUGGAAACUACCAAGCUGGAGUACGGUAGGGGCUAGAGGGAAUUUCCGGUGGAGCGGUGAAAUGCGUAGAGAUCCGGAGGAACACCGACGGCGUAAGCAGCGCCCUGGACGAGACCUGACGCUCGGGCACGAAAGCUGGGGGAGCAACAGG
rnacentral:rRNA from 1 species